UGGUAAAUAAUUUUUAUAGCGUAAAAGCUAAAUAAAUUCAUACAUACUGUAAUACAGAUAACCAAAGCACAAGAUUUAAUUUAUAGUAUCAUGUGGGCCCACAAACGACCAAAUGUAUCAAAAGCGGUAAACCUACAAUUUUUGAGAUGCAAGUCCAAUUGUAGCCCUCAACGAAAUGAGUUAUCUACCGACUAUCCUGAGCCUGAAAGGGGUGGAAAAGAGGGUGGUGAGAUUAUAUAAUCCCAAUGAGUAAACAAAUAUCAUCUAAAAUAUCUAAAGCCGAGUAAAUGGAGACAGAUAAAAUAGAUUAGCAUAAAAAUGAUUCACAGCAUUUCGAACUCAUUUUAAUAAGAUAAAAUAGAUUCAUUUCACCCAAAUAAACAACGAGACUUACGAUUUCCUGAAAAGUUUGGCUCCUACCAAAACCAUUCUCAUACUCAGUUAUCAGGGAUACCUUGGCCGAGAGCUAUCCCAACUGAAUCCGCCAAGGUUGUUAAAAGAGAUCAUGUACGCAUAAAUCAUGUUUUUAUUUUGAAAACAUAGUCGUUCCUUGGCGUUGGCUGAGUUCACCUUUACGUGGUGGUUUAGCGUGAACUGAACUCUAAAGUUUUAACCUCAGGAGUUAUCAAACCGCGCCUUUCAUACUGAGGUAUGAAUAUAAUAGGGUUACCGUGCCCCUUUAAUAUGCUGGUCCACGGAACCCGUCCACUGCAGCGAUCAAUAUAAAACCCACCAAUUCAAUAUAAUUCAACAACAUGACAUGGCAAUUAUUUUAUUUUAUAGCCUCUCAUGGCAAAUCAACAGUUCAUAUAUUUCAACACAAAUACCAAUUCAGCCAUUCAUGCAAAUAUUGUCAUAAGCCAUUCAAUUCAAACCAUGAAUUUACAACACAUGAAAACAGUCUCUAAUUACUCUAUUUUCAAACCAUCAUUCAAUUUCAAGACAAUGUUAUAAAAUCAUUUCAUUAAAUCACAUUUUAAUUACAAAACACAAGGAUUUACCAUUUAACUCAUUUUCCAUAAAAUCACAAAAUUGGAUAAAAAUCACUUUAGAUAAUUAAGAUGAUAGUAAGGUUACUCAUUAUUUCGGGAGUCAAAUUUCGAGUACUCCAAUUUUUGAUCCUCGGGUACUAUGUCUUUACUUUUGCCAGAAUGCUCACCACCUAGACAUAAUGCACAAUAAGCCAUUUACUACAUUUGUGCUAAAUUGUUAUAAAACCAAUUCAAGCUCUAUACUAAUGCAUGAAAUGGGGUGUGAAAUACUCGGGUAACUAUCUAAAUACGGUGUUCAAUAUAAUUUCAAUUAUGUACCUAAAUAAAACUGUAUUGGCCUAAUUUGAUCUAUCACUCAAUUAAUUGGCCAAUAUGUCCAAUUUAACUCUAAUUAACUCCAUUUUUCUUCCAAUUCUCCAAACCAUCAAACACAAGUUAAAUAAUUCGAAAUAUGGCAAAAUCAUCUUCACAUUUUCUCUUGGGACUUUCGGCCAUGGUGGGUGCAUCAAUACUAUGAUUUUUCCUACUUGAUUUUCUCACCGUAAUUCAUCAUUUCCUAAGCAAAUCACUUCAAAUAAAAUCAAAUCCACCAUCCCCACUCUACAUGGAAGAUUUGGCCAAUGAUGGGUGAUGGGAGAAAAUGAAUUUUGCUUGUUGGCUUUUCAUGCUACACAUCACUAACUAACUAAAAUCACUAAAAUACAUUGAAAUCUAACCAAAUCUGUGAGACCUUGACCUUUAUAGACUUGUAAAGGGAAGUAUACGCGAUUUCCCUGAUCAAGGGUAAUUUCAUUAUUUCCUUAACAAGCCCAUAAAAGUAAGAUUUUUAAACAAUAUUAUGGCCUAAGUAGGCCUAAGGCAUAAAUGGAUGGUGAAAUUAGGGGUAAAAUGAAAAGGAAACCAAAAUUUUGAUGAUUUUCACGGUAGGGCAAAAUGGUCAUUUUUCACCUCGAGUUAAAAUUUUAAGUUUUCAUGAACUCGAGUAUGUCUAGACCAUUAUGGACCUUAUCCAGGUGUCAAAAGAGCAAAAAGAUUUCAUAAAGGAUUAGAAGAGAGUAAGUUAAUUGGUGGAAGGGCAUUUUGGUAAUUUCAAGGGAAUGGAUAAGAUUGGCUAUAAAUACUUUCUUUCAACAGCUUCUUCCCUCAUUUUCCAGCAGCUUGUCUUCUUCUUCUUCUUCUCUUUCACAUUGCUUCCAACCUCCAUGGAAGCUUGAUAUGGAGCUUGCAUGGUUUUCUCUCUCUAGCUCUAGUUUUCAUACUUUUGAGCGCUUUUGACUAGAACUCUUGUAUUAUUUCACUCUUUCACUUCAAAACCCUUGAUAAAUCUUAUUUCCAUACUUUCGCUCACUAGUUGGGCAUUCCAGAGAGAGAAAGAGAGAAUUACCCCAUUGAUUUGAAAGCUAUUGGAAGAGAAUUCAACUAUAAAGGAACCUUAGGGUAAGUGAUGAAUUAAGCUUGAUUUUUAACUAUGAAUAAUGGCUAGUAAUUUAGAUUAAGAGAUGUUUUAUUGUUGAGUAUGUUCAUUACUUUUUUAGUGAUUAACAUAGUGAACAUAGAUAGCCAUUUAAUGUGGCAAUUGAAAGCUAUCUAAGAGAUAGCUUUUAGGGUUCAUAGUGUGUGAAUUGACCUAUUGCUUAUGCUAAAGAGAUCCUAGGUUCUAAUGAAGUCCCAUCCUUCCAAUUGGAUCAUUAGGGGAAUUAGAGUCAACUAAAGGCUCAACAGUAAAUUGGUGAGUGGACUGCCUAUCAAAACUAUUUUAGGAAUGUGACUGUUUUGUACAAAGUGUUUGAAUGAUUUUAUACAACUUUUCUUAAAAAUGAGUGCCUUGGGAACAAGCUCUUGAGAAAUGGUUUAUGUUGUGACAUGUGACUAUUAAUGAUUCAUGCACUACCACAUUGUGUUGAUAUAUAUAUAUAUGAAUAUAUUGUUGUGUAAUGACAUUGACUUGGCUAUGUGCGAGUAGGGAGUGCGCAUAAGCUGAGGAUGACCCGGUUAUGUGCGAGUAGGGAGUGCGCAUAACUCGGUGAUGACCCAACCACGUGCGAGUAGGGAGUGCGCAUGAGCUGGUGAUGAUGAUGAUGGGAUGGUGUGCAUGAUGAUGAUGGGUAUAUGUAUAUAUAUACAUAUGUAAAUAUGUGUGAUAUAGGAAAUUAAUGAGUAAUGGUAUAUGGUUGUAAUGCAUGUGAAACUUGACAUGUUAAACUGUAGAAAAUUGUUAUGCAUUUCAUGUUGGUUUGAACAUUUUAGCAGGGUGGUUUUUCUUUGGGAAGAAGGGCAAAUUUUUCAUUGGUGCCCUAUUUCUCGCUACAGCAAGAAUCAUGUUCACUGUAGCCAGAAACUCUUGGGUUUUGAAAGGGUAGACUGGCCGAAAACUCACUACAGCGAGAUUAUCUUUUUGUUGCAGCGAAAAGGACACUGUAGCUUCUCGUUGCAACAAAAUUCAUUCUCGUUGCAGCAAUAAACUUUCUGUUUUCUGGGUUGUAAUUUCGAGUAUUAUUUUGCUGUGUAUAGAUGAACCUAAUGUAAAUAGUUAAGAUACAUGCUGUAGACAAUGUAUAUACACUUGUUUGGUAUGCCAAUAUGAGAUGGCAAUGUGUAGUAUUAUUUUGAUUCUAAGUUUUGAAAUGUGACUUAGCAGUUUAUGAUGGAAUGAUAAACAUGUCAAAUUAAUAGGCUUGUUUGGGCUUAGUGGAUUACAUCCAUUGGGCCCAUACGUCGAUUAUGGCUCGCAAUUUGGGUCGUGACAAAAUCAAGCAUCAAAACUCCUCCUCCCAUGUCCGGCCAGCAAGGGUAUCCUCAUGCAAACUUGAUUCUCAACCAUGGAAAAUGAAAAAGAAUGCAUAGGAAAGGUAGAUCACAAGCUAGAAUUGCAAAAUCUUACCUUUUGUCACUUGUUUCCUUGAAUUUUCACACUUUUCCCUUGAAUUUUUUCACCUAGGGUUUUGUUCUUCCUUUUCUUCCUUUGUUCUUGCUUUGUUCUUCCUUUG
rnacentral:lncRNA from 1 species